rnacentral:rRNA from 1 species
UACGAAGGGGGCUAGCGUUGCUCGGAAUUACUGGGCGUAAAGCGCACGUAGGCGGAUUGUUAAGUCAGGGGUGAAAUCCUGGAGCUCAACUCCAGAACUGCCUUUGAUACUGGCGAUCUCGAGUCCGGGAGAGGUGAGUGGAACUGCGAGUGUAGAGGUGAAAUUCGUAGAUAUUCGCAAGAACACCAGUGGCGAAGGCGGCUCACUGGCCCGGUACUGACGCUGAGGCACGAAAGCGUGGGGAGCAAACAGGG